rnacentral:rRNA from 1 species
GUGUCAGCAGCCGCGGUAAUACAGAGGGGGCGAGCGUUAUUCGGAAUUAUUGGGCGUAAAGGGCGCGUAGGCGGCGAUUCAAGUGACGGGUGAAAUCCCUCGGCUUAACCGAGGAACUGCCUGUCAGACUGGAUUGCUUGAGGCCGGGAGAGGUGAGUGGAAUUCCCAGUGUAGCGGUGAAAUGCGUAGAUAUUGGGAGGAACACCAGUGGCGAAGGCGGCUCACUGGACCGGUACUGACGCUGAGGCGCGAAAGCGUGGGGAGCAAACAGGAUUAGAUACCCGUGUAGUCC